CGAGGUGGUGCAUGGCUGUCGUCAGCUCGUGUCGUGAGAUGUUGGGUUAAGUCCCGCAACGAGCGCAACCCUUGCCGUUAGUUGCCAAUCUCACUUCGGUGGGAGGAACUCUAAGGGGACUGCCGCGGAUAACGUGGAGGAAGGUGAGGAUGACGUCAAGUCAUCAUGGCCUUUAUGUCCAGGGCUACACACGUGCUACAAUGGGCGGUACAAUCCGUUGCCAACCCGCGAGGGGGAGCCAAUCGGAAAAAACCGUCCUCAGUUCGGAUUGCAGUCUGCAACUCGACUGCAUGAAGCUGGAAUCGCUAGUAAUGGCGUAUCAGAACGACGCCGUGAAUACGUUCCCGGGCCUUGUACACACCGCCCGUCACAUCACGAAAGCGGGCUGUACUAGAAGUCUCGAUCCCAACCGCAAGGGGGGUAAGGCCCAAGGUAUGGCUCGUGAUUGGGGUGAAAGGGGUAACAAGGUAGCCGUAGGAGAACCUGUGGCUGG
rnacentral:rRNA from 1 species